UACGUAGGGUGCAAGCGUUAUCCGGAAUUAUUGGGCGUAAAGAGCUCGUAGGUGGUUUGGUAAGUCGGACGUGAAAUCUCCAGGCUCAACCUGGAGGGGUCAUUCGAUACUGCCAUGACUAGAGGUCGGUAGGGGAGUGUGGAAUUCCUGGUGGAGCGGUGAAAUGCGCAGAUAUCAGGAGGAACACCCGUAGCGAAGGCGGCACUCUGGGCCGAUUCUGACACUGAGGAGCGAAAGCGUGGGGAGCGAACAGG
rnacentral:rRNA from 1 species